GGUCAUGAGCGCCAGCGUCAAGCCCCGGCUUGCUGGCCGGCAACCCUCCAACCGCGGUGGGGUGCCCCGGGUGAUGACCAGGUUGAGUAGCCAUUAGGACGGGUUACCGGCAAGCGCGGGUC
rnacentral:ncRNA from 2 species